rnacentral:rRNA from 1 species
UACGUAGGGUGCAAGCGUUAAUCGGAAUUACUGGGCGUAAAGCGUGCGCAGGCGGUUAUGUAAGACAGGUGUGAAAUCCCCGGGCUUAACCUGGGAACUGCAUUUGUGACUGCAUAGCUAGAGUACGGUAGAGGGGGAUGGAAUUCCGCGUGUAGCAGUGAAAUGCGUAGAUAUGCGGAGGAACACCGAUGGCGAAGGCAGCCCCCUGGGCCAACACUGACGCUCAGGCACGAAAGCGUGGGGAGCAAACAGG